rnacentral:tRNA from 1 species
GCGCCAGUAGCUCAGUUGGAUAGAGUAACUGGCUACGAACCAGUAGGUCAGGGGUUCGAAUCCCUUCUGGCGCACCA